rnacentral:rRNA from 1 species
AGAUGAGAUAUCCCUACGAAAGUAGUAAGACCCCUUGAAGACGACGAGGUAGAUAGGGCAGAGGUGGAAGCAUGGUAACAUGUGGAGCUGACUGUUACUAAUCGGUCGAGGGCAUAACCAUA